CGAAGGCCGCUGCAACGGCAGUCAACGCCGGGCCCUCGCGCGCGCCGCACGACCUACACCGCCGAACACGCGACCAUUCCGUUUUGACAUUUCAAUUUUCACGAAAACUUCGUAACUAUUUCAAUUUGUGAGUGAAGAAGGCGUUUAAUUUGAUUUGGGAUUUUUGACGAGUUCUCGGGAAGUUUGUUGCAGACGGCGAAAAAGGCAGUUAAGGUGACGUCGAAAUCCAACAAAUAGUACCUAUAGCAGCACAGCUCGCAUCGAAGCAAAUUGUAUAGCACCAGGU